CUCAAUUCUACCAAGGCUUCAGAGAAACUGUGAACCUUUCAGAAAAGCUCACAGAGGAUGAGUCUUCAAGCUCAUAGCCUCUACGAACUCGAGAUGAAAAAAUAUAGGCUGAAACAGAGACUUGAGAGCUUACAAGAGGCUUUCAAAAGUCCUUGUUUAGGCACCUUCAGUAGGGGAAGAUCUUGGGAAUCCAUUUUUCAAGGCUGCAGCUUGAGCGUCUUCAACCAAGGCCCUACGGAGCUCCUGAAGGGGCAUAAACAACCAAUUCUCCAUUAACUUGUCCUGCAUGCACAACUUGGCUACAAGAUGGGCUGAUUUGUUCCUCUCUCUAUUAGUCCAGACAAAGUCACACCGAUGGAACUGCACUUGCAGAUUAUGGGCCAGGGUCAAGCCUUCCCUUAUUGCAUGCGCCUCAGUUGUCAUCGCAGAGGAAGCAAAAACCUUUGUAUGAGACCCAGCAAGGAGAUUGGAGUACUAGUCUCGGAUUAUCACCCCAAUGGAGGCCUGAGAAGAAGGCUGGAGACUUCUUGCAAGGUAAACACUGGACUGGGGCGAGAAGCCUUGAAAACAGUUUCAUUUCUCCCUCUCCAUACGGACUACAGAGUGCAUGCCAGGAUGGAGAAAUCUCUUGAGAAGUCUAAAGACAGAGAUUGCAAGGCUAUAAUCUUUUGCAUCAGCCAAAUAUCAAGGGAUCCAAGGCCUCCAGAGGAGACUGCCCACUGAAGGGGAGAGCCAAACCACACCGCUCGAGUCCACUGGAAGAGGAAGAAUAGGCGGUCCACUGUCUCCCAAGCUUCAUUACGAAUAGGGCAUUGUCCCGUGGGGCAAACACAGAACCAGGAGAAACAGCGAUGAUGGCGCGACCCAACCUGGAAGAAACCGUCCACAACAGCAACAGGGCGACCCACCCAGGAGCCGGGAUUCACCCCAGGGGGAUUCUUGUAAUCUUGGUGUCCAAUUGAUUCUUCUGUCGAAGAAUCUUGGCAGAGUUGAUUCUGAAUAAUACAAUUAUUUUCUUCUUUCCUCUCUAGUUGAACAA